CGUGCUGCGGUGGGUUGCUGAGGGCGGUUGUGCGGUGUGAGCAGUCUGCCUCCUGAGGAGGAACAGGGCGUUAAAGCCGCGAUGGGCUUUGCUAGCUUUCCUGCAGCAAUUGAGAGUAAACUUCAGUUUUAAUGGAGUGCUUUUAUGGAAUAUUUUCAUAACGAAGAUGAUAUUCCAAGGUACAGCAUAGCUUGCUAUGAGGCUGGUAUGAUUGACUCAUCCAACUUUUGGUUUGCCUGGGCCUCACUGAGCGAAGAGGAUUUGUCACGGUACGUGUGUGCAGAGGUCAUACCGAAAGUAGUGCCUCCUAUCUACCUCCAUGGAAAUGACAACAAGCACAGAGCACAAUGACACUGUUUGGUAGAGCAGAUUCUCAGCUACAAAACACUUUUUCAACACAGUCACCACCACUAGCUGUGCAUAUUUUUUGCCAGCGAUGAACAGGAGCUACAUGCCACGCUUGUAAAUCCAUACCAGCAGAGGUGCCCCGCCAUUGCCAUCACAUCUGCUAAAAAGUAUAGAUGGAGGUCAUAUAUUAAAAUAAACACUAUACAUAGGCCUAGAAUUUCUGUUACAAAAGCUAGUAGAUUUUCAUCUGGAACUUAAAGUUGAUUUUAUAAGUUUGUUCACUAGUUAGGCCAUUAGUCCAUCAGUUUGUGUGUUUUAAGGUAAAUAGAUCGUUUCUGCUUCCAGGACCGUUGGCUGGUCCCUCCCAUGAGAAUUACUUUCAUUUAAUGCCUUCUGCACGGCAACAGACAAACAAAUAAAUAAAUAGAGAAAAGAAAAUGAGAGUGUAAUGUGCCCCGUGGUCCUCUGGUGAGAGUGUAAACUGAUGAUUGCCGUGACAGCGUUACUUUGGCUGACUUUGAUUUUCCAUUACAGACAGUGAAUGGUUGUCUGUCCAUCUGAAGAACAAAGGGGCAGACUGUAGAUAGAUGCUUCCUGCAGUGGCAGGAAUGCCUGCUGCUCUGCUGCCUCCUCCUGACCAGAUCCAAGAUGCUGUAUGUGACACUGAGAGGAAUUUGGGUUUCGUCUCUUCCAGAGGAAUGCUGUACCCACCUUGCAUGGUGCGAGUGGUAGCAGAGCUCCUCGUGAAGCAUACAGAAGGUCUGAGCAGAGCUGGAGUACUUGGCAUCUUGCAAAGUCAGGUCACACUGCUAUUUGCUCUGAAAAUGAGCAGCUGCUUGCCAAGGUGAGGAGAAAUAAUAGAAAAAGUUACGGUUGUGUUUUCACCCAUGCAAUGGAAAGAGAUAUCCUCCAUUUGUGAGCUCUCUGGUUCAAGCCAGCUGGGCCUGUUGGGAAACUUUCAGGACCACUGCAGAGAAGAUAACAGAAGCAGCAUGCAGUCAGUACCCCUUUGUGUUGUAACAAACCAUGAAAGUGCUGUGCAGAUUCCUCUGCCCUGGAAAUUCUCCCCGUGGUGAUUUAAAAGGAAAUGUAAUAUGCAUCAUUGUUGAAGUGGGCUGCAUUUCUCAGUGAAUGACCUCACUUCGUUGUCCUCACAGCUUGUGUUUGGAAACUGCAGGCUGUGGUGAUGCUCUAAAAAGGUGGUCUCCCAGACUGCACAAUGGUGCAGCGCCUUGCCCUUCCUCUGCUUUUGGCACUGUGUUUUACACGCAAAUUCAAAUCACCUGCUGGGCUAAACCAUCAGUUCCAGUUAACAGCUUUGUGAAGUAAUAGUGCAGCAGGGGAAGACCCAGUAGGAAGGCUUUGGCUGAGCAAUGCACUAAACCUUGCUGAAUUCAUUUUGUAGCGAGAUCCUUAGGCAGAGGGAUCUUUUGACAGCAAGAUCUGAGUCAAUGCAAUAACAGUAACAAGAAGGGCAAGUGUGCAGGGAGCUGCAGGCUUGGAACCUGGGACAAAAUGGGAGACCAGGCAUGCUACUGAGGCGUGAUCACUGGUGAUAACAGUGCUUGGUUGCUGAGGAAGGACAGAUGACACAUUUGGCAGUUGGUUCUGUGAUGGUACUUGCAAUGGAUGGUAGUCAUGGUGCUGCGAUUGGGAUGAUCCUCCAAGAGCUAGUCCUGCGUUGGUAUUGGUAACACUUGGCUAGAACGACCUGUGCUUUACCUUAGAAAAAAGCAGGAUUAUCACAUGAGUGUAAGCAUAUCCAAGUGUAUCUGCAUGUUUGUAGUACACAUCUGCAUGACAUCAGCAGCAAAAUGAACUUUGAAGUAGUUUCCCAUUCCUCCGUCUAUGUGUGGUGCGUAAGAAAAUCAAAGCACUGAUAGAGA